rnacentral:lncRNA from 1 species
GAAUUCCCCGAAUCUAAACAAAAUAAGUAUAUUAUUAUCAAUAUAUGCUAAAGGAAUGAAACCCAUACGAAAAUUAUUAAUUUAACUCAAAAAUCCCGAAAUUGGCCAAACUCAAACCCGGGCCCACGUCUUGGAAUCGAAUAAAAAUCACAAAACUAGAAAACUCAUUAGCUCACGAGUCUACCCAUAUCAAAAUUCAUCAAAAUCUGACGUCAAAGGUCAUCCAAAUCCAAAAAAUCCAUUCUCUAAUUUUUCUUCCAUUUUUCCCUAUUUUUACCCCAAAUUCUCAAAAUAAAUGAUAAGAUUCAAGACAUAAUUAUGGAAUUUAGCCCAAAACAAGUGAAGAACACUUACCUUAAUCACUCCUUUGAAACUCCUCUCUAAAUUCACCUUCUCCCGAGCUCUCUAAUGAGUUUUUGAAAAUAUGAACUAAACCCUCUUUUUUGAACUUAAAGAUUCUGCCCAGACGCUUCCUUCUUCGCGAACGCAGUCAAAGUCUCGCGUUCGCGAAGCACAAAAAUCACUGCCCAAUUAUUCCUCUUUUGCAAAUGCGACAUCAUUCACGCGAACACGAAGGUUCAACUGCCCAAGCCUUCGCGAACGCGGCCCUACCUACGCGAAUGCGAUGCACAAACUCCUGGGGUCCCAGCUGCUCUAAUUUACCCUACGCGAACACUACUGCUCUCACGCAUUCGCGAUUCAGUGGAAUCCAAACCUAUGCGAACGCAUCCCCUGACUCACGAACGCGAAGAGAAUUUUCUCCCUUAGACCCAGCUCUUCUCCGCGAAUGCGGGACAAUCUUUACGAAUGCGAAGAACAAAUUCUUCUGUAACAAAAAACUGCAAAAUCUACAACUCUCCAAAACCAAGAAUUGGUCCGUUAACCACCCUAAAAUAACCUGAGGCCCUCGGGACCUCAACCAAACAUGCCAACACAUCCCAUAAUAUGAUUAAAACUUGUUCCAAUCUUCAAAACAAUGCCAAAACAUCAAAUCACCCUCGGAUUCAAGCAUAAGGAUUCCAAAACUUCCGAAUCCCACAAUCGAUCAAAUAGUCUAUCAAACCUCGUCUGAAUGACCUGAAAUUUUGCACACAUGUUCCAAAUGACACAAUGGACCUAAUCCAAUUUCCAGAAUUCCAUUCGGGCCUCAAUAUCAAAAUUUCCACUGCUAACCGGAAAAUGCCAAAUUUCCAAUUUCGCCAAUUCAAGCCUAAAUCUUCCACGGACCUCCAAAACACAUUCUGAUCACACUACUAAGUCCGAAAUCACCUAAUGAAGCUAUCCGAACCAUCAGAAUUCACAUCCGAGGCCUUCUACCUAUAAGUCAACAUUCAGUUGACUUUUCCAACAUAAGCUUACUCAAAAGAGACUAAGUGACUCAUUCUUCUACAAAACCACUCCGAACCCAAACCAACCAACCCGAUACCAUGUAAUACAACUGAACAAGACAUAAAGAAGAAUAAAUGGGGGAAAUGAAGUGAUAACUCAUGAAACAACCAGUCGGGUCGUUACAUCAUCCCCCUCUUAAACAAAUGUUUGUCCUCGAACGGGUCAAGAAACAUACCCGGCUGAAUAGUGCACUCGGACUGCCCGUCCAUCUGAGGGUGAAAAGCUAUGCUCAACUCAACCUGAGUACCCAACUCUCGCUGCACGGACCUCCAAAACUGCAAAGUAAACUGAGUACCCCUAUCUAAAAUGAUGGAAACUGGGACACCAUGCAAGUGAACAAUCUCUCGGAUAUAAAUCUCUGCUAAUCACUCUUAAGAAUUGGUAGUACACACAGGAAUGAAGUGCGCAGACUUGGUCAGCCAAUCCACAAUCACCCAAUUAGCAUCGAACUUCUUUAAAAUCUGUAGGAGUCCAACUACAAAGUCCAUAGUGUUCUGCUCCUACUUUCACUCUGGAAUAUCUAUCUGCUGAAGCAAGCCACCCGGUCUCUGAUGCUCAUAUUUCACCUACUGACAAUUGAGACACCGAGCUACAAAUCCCAAAAUAUCCAUCUUCAUUCUUUUCCACCAAUAAUGUUGUCUCAAAUCCUGAUACAUCUUCGCGGCACCCGGACGGAUGGAAUACCGCGAGCUAUGGGCCUCCUCCAGAAUCAACUCUCAAAGCCCAUCUCAUUGGGUACACAUAUCAGGCCCUGCAUCCUCAAUACUCCAUCAUUACCAAUAGUCACAUCUUUGGCAUUGUCGUGCUGAACUCUCUCCUUAAGGACAAGGAAAUGAGGAUCAUCAUACUGGCGCUCUCUAAUACGAUCAAACAAGGAAGACUGAGAAACCACACAUGCUAAGACCCGAUUGGGCUCCGAAAUAUCCAACCUCACAAACCGAUUGGCCAACGCCUGAACAUCAACUGCGAGAGGUCUCUCCCCAACAGGAAUAUAUUCCAAACUUCCCAUACUCGUCGCCUUCCUACUAAAGGCAUUGGCCACUACAUUGGCCUUCCCCAGAUGGUACAAUAUAGUGAUAUCAUAAUCCUUUAGGAGCUCCAACCAUCUCCGCUACCUCAAAUUGAGAUCGUUCUACUUGAACAAGUGCUGGAGGCUACAAUAAUCAGUAAACACCUCACAAGACACACCAUAUAGAUAAUGCCUCCAAAUCUUCAAUGUAUGAACAAUGACAGCCAAAUCUAGAUCAUGAACGGGGUAGUUCUUCUCAUGGGGCUUCAACUGACGAGAAGCAUAAACUAUCACUCUACCCUCAUGCAUCAUCACAUACCCAAUACAAACUCUCGAAGCAUCACAAUACAAUGUAUAUGAAUGUGAAGUUGAUGGCAAAACUAACACUGGAGCUGUGGUCAAGGCAGUCUUGAGCUUCUGAAAGCUCGCCUCACACUCAUCUGACCACAUGAAAGGAGCACGCUUUUGAGUCAAUUUGGUCAAGGGUGAUGCUAUAGAAGAAAAUCCUUAAAGGAACCGAUGGUAAGAGCCCGCCAAACCAAGAAAGCUGCGAAUCUCUAUGGUUGAGACGAUCUGGGCAAACUCUGAACCGCCUCUAUCUUCUUCGGAUCACCUUGAAUACCCUCACUAGACACCACGUGCCCCAAGAAAGCCACUAAACUGAGCCAAAACUCACACUUGGAGAAUUUUUCAUAAAGUUUCUCCUCCCUCAACCUCUACAACAUAACUCUCAAAUGCUCCGCGUACUCCUCCUAACAAAGCAAGUAUACCAGAAUAUCAUCAAGGAAUACAAUAAUGAACGAGUCAAGAUAAGGCCGAAGUACGUUGUUCAUCAAAUGCAUGAAUACUGAUAGGGCAUUGGUCAACCCAAACAACAUCACAAGGAACUCAUAAUGACCAUAUCGAGUCCUGAAAGCUGUCUUAUUAAUGUCCGAGUCCCUGAUCUUCAACUGGUGAUACCCUGAACGGAGAUCAAUCUUGGAAAACACCCUCGCUUCCUGAAGCUGGUCAAAUAAAUCAUCAAUACAAGGAAAAGGAUACUUUUUCUUGAUUUUGACCUUGUUCAAGUGCUUGUAAUCAAUGCACAUCCUCAUAGUGCCAUCUUUCUUCUUCACAAAUAGAACAUGCGCACCCCAUGGUGAUACACUAGGCCGAAUAAACCCUUAAACAAGGAGUUCCUGAAGCUGCUCCUUCAACUCUGUCGGUGCCAUACGAUACGAUGGAAUAGAAAUGGGGUGAGUGCCCAGCACCAAAUCAAUACCAAAAUCAAUAUCCUUGUCCAGUGACAUACCCAACAGGUCUGCAGAAAACACAUCUAGAAAGUCCCUCACUACCGGAACUGAAUCAAUGGUAGGAUUCUCUGGACUAACAUCCCUCACAAAGGCUAGAUAAGAAAGACAGCCCUUCCCAACCAUCCGUCGGGCCUUCAAAAAUGAAAUCACUCUACUGGGUACAUAAUUCGUCGAACCUCACCACGCAAUCCGUGGCAGCCUCGUCAUAGACAAUGUCACUAUCUUAGCAUGACAGUCCAAAAUAGGAUGACAUGGAGAUAACCAAUCCAUGCCCAAUAACACAUCAAAAUCAACCAUACUAAGCAACUAGAGAUCCGCUCGGGUAUCCAAACCCCCAAUAGGCACCAUACAUGACCGAUAUACAUGAUCUACAAUAAUAGUAUCGCCCACCAGAGUAGAUAGAACAGAUGAAACUAGAGACUCUCCGGGCAUAUCCAAAUAGUGAGCAAAAUAUGAUGACACAUAUGAAAAAGUGGAACCAGGAUCAAAUAAUAUAGAGGCAUCUCUGUGGCAGACUGAGAUAAUACCUAUAAUCACAACAUCUGAAGCAAUAGCAUCUGGCCUGGCCGGAAGGGCAUAGAAACAGGCUUGACCACCACCUGAUCAACCUCUCCCUCUAGGGCGACCCCUAGCUGACUAAUCUCUACCCCGAGCUGACUGAGCGGGUGGGGAAAUAAUUGGUGCUGAAGUCGAAGACUGACUCCUCUACUGAGAUGAACCUCCCGUAAGAUGGGGACUAAACCUCUUGAUAUGACCCAAAUCUCUACACUCGAAGAAACCUCUCCCGACAAAUGGUAGUGGGGACUGAAGGGAGCCUCUCGCACCUGGAUGUCCCCUAGAAGAACCAGGCAUAGAUGAGCCCUGAACUGAUGGUGCUCGAGUCAAACUCUAAGCUAGAAGGGCACUGAGAGAUGAGUGAACCUGAUGUGACAUGUGAAAACGGUGUUCAGAUGAUCCAUCACGAUGGACCGAACAGGCUGGCUGAGCAUGUCUGAAUGGACGGCCUCUGCCGUGUUGAAAUUGACCUCCCGAAGGAACAUGACCAAUACUGCCAGAUCUCCAAGACCUCUUGGCCUCCCUGUCAACUCGCUCUUGGCAGAGAACCGACUCUAUCUCUCAAGCAAUGUCAACCACCUCCUCAAGAAAAGUACCAGACACCCUCUCUCUGGUUAUAAGAAUUCGUAACUGAUAACAGAUGCCAUCCACGAAUCUCCUGAUCCUCUCCCUAUGUAUAGGAACCAACCAAACAACAUGACGAAAUAACUCAAAGAACCUCAUCUCAUACUGUGUCACAUUCAUAUCAUCCUAACGCAAUUGAUCGAACUACCUACGCAGCUCCUCUCUACGGGACUGCGGCAGAUACUUCUCCAGGAAGAGAGCAGAGAAUGGUUGCCAGGUAAGGGGCACUACACCAACAGGUCUACGCCUCUCAUAAGCCUCCCACCAAGUGAAGGCAGCUCCAGAAAACUGAAAAGAAGUAUAUGAGACCCCACUAGUCUCCAGAAUACCCGUUGUACAUAACAUCCUCUAACAGUUGUCCAAGAAACCCUGGGCUUCCUCGCCCUCUCCAAUCGACGCUUCUCUUCAUUAGGAAUAAGAAGAACUACAUAAUCCCGAGCAGGUGUAACCAGCUGGGCUGGUGGUGCCUCCGGUGUUUGUAGUCCCUGAACAACUUGCUUGGGUGUAUGGGAGACGGGAGUCUAAGUGCCUGACCCGUCCUUAAAAGUAGCUGAUGUAAUAGUAACUACGACUGCUUGAGCAAGACUGGUGCACACGAUUAGAAUCUGAGCCAAGGUCUCCUGGAGAUCUGGAAUAACAAUAGACAUAGUCGGUGCCUGAGCUGGUGCUGCUGGAGCAUCCCCCGUUGGAGCCUAAUCAAGAGCUUGGGCGGAGGGUGGAUCUAUAGGUGCUGCCCAAGCUGUUGAACAGGCUACACCCCUGCCCCUACCACGGCCUCGACCGCAUCCUCAGCCUCUAGUGGCCCAAAUUGGUGGUACUGGUGGUCGUCCAUCCUGACCAGUAGCACGUGUCCUCACCAUCUAUGAGAGAAUAUAAUAACAUAAGUUUAGUACCAGAAUCAACAGAUUUGCACGACAAGAAUUCAAGAAUGUAAAUUUUUUUCCUAAAGGUUCUGCAGCCUCUCGGGGAUAAGUACAGACGUCUCCAUACCAAUCCGCAAGACUCUACUAAACUUUCUUAUGACUCGUGAGACCUAUGUAACCUAGGCUCUAAUACCAACCUGUCAUGACCCAAAAAUCGACCCUGACGUGAUGGCGCCUAUCGUGAAACUAGGCAAACCAACUUACUUACAAAUACUCCAGAUUUCAUUUAAAACUUAAGUAAAACCAUAUUUUGGACAAAAAACCGAUAAAAGAUAUAAAGUAAAACCAAACAAAGCGUAAAAUACAAGUCUGACCUCGGGUGUCACUAAGUUAUGAGCAAAAUACAAUAACUAUUUGAAAUAAACAAGACUACAGAGUCUGAGAGUAGCCAACAAAUACACUAAGAGGAAGAUAAGGAAGGAGAAGGCGGGACUACGAUCUCCAGGCAGCUACCUCGCUAUCUCCAAGGAAAAAGUCCACCACUGAAAUGAUCAAUAACCGCUACCGUGACCCGAGAUACCUGGAUCUACACACAAGGUGCAGAGGGUAACGUAGUACACCAACUCAGUAAGUAACAAUUCCAAACUAUGGACUGACAGGUAAUAACGAACCAAACCUCAACAGAUAAUAUCAUUAAAUUGUACAGAAAAGUAGACAUGCUUGCACUUCAAGUAAAAAUUCAACAAUAAAUAAAUGAAGCAUAAACGAUACGGAGUAUAAAGCUCAGGAAUCUCUAUGUACCAAUGCGUAGAUAGCAUGAUCAAUGUUUCGUGUACCUCCACUCAUAAGUGCUUAACCACUUGGUACUAUAUAUGGCCAUCCGGCCCAGGGAAGAUCCAUCCCGGAAUAUAUAUAUCACUGAUCGUAGUCAUCCAGUACCAAGGAAAGCUAUUCUAUCCCUGUGGAGAAGAUCCAUCUCCAGGUAUAAAUACUUCGGACAAUAUCCAUGUCCAAGGAAGAUCCAUCCCUCAAUAUCAUCAACUGCGCUCACUAGGGGUGUGUUACAGACUCCGGAGGUGCUCCUACAGCCUAAGAUCUAUCAUAAUCAUCAACAUAACUGCUCCGGCGUGUAGCCCGAUCCCAUAUACAGUCACUCACAACCAGGCUCUUGGCCUCAGUCACUCAUCACUCUCCAGUCUCGCACACACGGGCUCAUAAUGUAAUGAUACUAGCCUGAAUAAUGAUAUGAUGUGCCAUAUAACAAUAAUCAAGACUGAGGCAUGAUAUAUAAUGCAUAAACAGGACUGAGUAUAGAAUAUCAAUGAAGAUAAUGAUAUGACAUCAAGAAACGACAUCUCGGGUCUCAAUUGUAUUGGCAUGAAGCCCUAACACGAUAUCUAGCAUGUUUUCACAGCACAUUUACUUAUUCACAUGAUAGAAAUACGGAUAUAAACAAGAAAGAGUUAAUAAGCAGUGCCAUGGAAUGAUCCAGGGCACAAUUCUCAUGGUGCAUGCCCACACACCCAUCGUUGCCAUUCGCAUCACCUCAAUAGAAAUCAUAGAACACAUAGUUCGGUGUUUCGAACCCUCAGAACCAAGUUUGGAAGCGUUACUUACCUCAAGCCAGGCCAAACUCUAGCCUGCGAUGCCCUUGCCUCUCGAUCGGCUUCCAAAUGCCCCAAAUCUAACCAAAAUAAUUAUAUUAUCAUCAAUAUACGCUAAAGGAAUGAAACCUAUACGAAAAUUAUCAAUUUAACUCAAAAAUCCCGAAAUUGACCAAACUAGACUCUGGGGCCCACGUCACGGAAUCGAAUAAAAUCAUAAAACAGAAAAACCCAUUAUCUCACGAGUACCUAUAUAAAAUUCAUCAAAAUCCGACGUCAAAAGGUCAUCCAAAUCCCAAAAAUCCAUUCUCCAAUUUUUCUGUUAUUUCCCCAAUUUUUACCCCAAAUUCUCAAAUUAAAUGAUAAGAUUCAAGACAUAAUUAUGGAAUUUAGCCCAAAACAAGUGAAGAACAUUUACCCCAAUCACUCCUUUGAAAAUCCUCUCUAAAUUCACCUUCUCCCAAGCUCUCUAAUGAGUUUUUGAAAAUAUGAACUCAACUCUCAUUUUUUGAACUUAAAGAUUCUGCCCAGACACUUCCUUCUUCGCGAACGCGGUCAAAGCCUCGCGUUCCUGAAGAACAAAAAUUACUGCCCAAUUAUUCCUCUUUUGCGAACGUUGUUACACCUCCUUUUUACACCUGAAAGAGAAUAUAAGGGAGUUUUUCCAAUUAAAAUUACAUAAAUCGAAAUGAGAUUAUUUUAUUUAAUUUCAGAAUUGCCACUUGGAAUAAUUUAGGGUGUCCCAAGUCACCGGCGUAUUUUAAAUCCCAAAUCGAGGAAAUUGACUUUACUUAAAAGUUUGCGAAACCAAAAAUCUUAGGUAAGGAAUUCUAUUAACCCGGGAGAAGGUGUUAGGUAUUCCCGGGUUCUGUGGUUCGAGCACGGUCACUUAACUAUUUAAUUGGCCUAAUUAUGUGAUUUAUUACAUAUUUUAAACUUAUUGUACAUUUUUUAACUUUAUAACCGCUUUUAUUUAUUUACGGGAUUUGUUGAACAAGGCGCGAUUGUCGCACACUUGUUUGUUUGUGUAAACAUUGUGAAUCGUGUCACGGGAACCGGACCCACAAUCUACAACAUGCUUAUUUUAUUAUUGUUUGAAGUUAUGGUCGGGUCACAUGAAAUGCACACCCGAAUUGGGAUUUACGUAUCGUGACUAUGCCACGGGAACCGUACCCAUAGCCACGAUGAUUUAAAAUUAAUCGUGCCUAAAGAAAGCUACAAUAAUUAUUAUUAUCUACUUCUAAGUUGGCGAUUUGAGCCUCUCGUAAGUUCUAUCACUAUGGUUAUGAGACGUAUUGGCAAGAAAAAUGUUCAGUUACAUUAUCUGAAACCAAAGCAAUCAAGAUAAAGGCAUUUUGUUUUGAUAGGCUCAGGUAAAUUGGUCUCUUUUCCUCGGCCAAGGUACAUGUGUUACGCUCUAAAGUGAUUUUAAUCUGCUUCUAUUAGAUGAAGCAAACUUAUCAUCACUGACUACAACUUUCAUGGACAACGAGAAAGAAAUGUUAAGAAUGAACUUCUACUUUGGAAUGAUGCAUUCUACUAACUUUAUUAUCUAUGUUCUUAUAAGAGUUCCUUAUUUUAGCAAAAUUUACAACAACAAAAAAAUACAAAGUAAAAAUAAAAAUAAAAGAGCUUCAAGUUUUAGAGUAAAUACUGAACUAAAAUCUGAAUUAAUUAGUACACAAAUGACUACUUUCAAUGCCUAUGAAGUUUUAAUUGAGCUAGGCACUAACAAAUUCCUAAAUUCCAUACCAACAGUGAUGGUAUUUCACCUCCGAGCCAUAGAUCUGCUAGAACACCUCCAUAUAUAUAAGAAAUCCAUCAUAAGUUAACAAACAAUCCAAACCUUAACAAAUACGUACUUCUCGUUCAAACCAUAGAAUUGCCUUUUCAUGAUUGUUUCUUAUUAUUACUCAAAUUUUCAUUAUGGUUUUAGAUAUUCAUCACAUCGAACACUUCAAAACCAAACCCAAGCAUGCAGUCAGAAAUGAAAGAGCACCCAGUACACAUGUCAAUGAACAGCAAUUGAGAUUUCAUAUCAAUGGGGCAUCCAAAUAGCAAUUACAUUAUUUGAGACCAAAAGCACAUACCUUAACAGCAGUAGUGCAACUUAUAAUAGCCAAGUAAGGAAUAUAUUCAGCAAAUUAGGGUUCAGCUACCCACAUAAUAGCAAAAUCAACCGGCAAAUGAGACUCUCACAGCUCAAUUAAACUUCAAAGUUUCCAGAAAAUAUCCAGUAGAGGAACCGUGAGAGAAUUAAUGAGCAUUGUCUGUGUGAGUGUGUAUUUAUGAUCUCUUUGUGGAGAGUGAGGCGUGUAUCUAUAUUAGGAAAAAGGGGGUUUGUUCUUGGUGGUGAUGAAAAUGGAGAAGCCCUGAAAUUCCCAGAUGCGUCGUUGCUCUUUUUCUAAGGGUGAGGUCUUCUAAUUAUUGUUCCCUAGGUUUUCUAAU